GUUAGGUGGCAAGCGUUGUCCGGAAUUAUUGGGGCGUAAAGCGCGCGCAGGCGGUUCUUUAAGUCUGAUGUGAAAGCCCACGGGCUCAACCGUGGAGGGUCAUUGGAAACUGGAGAACUUGAGUACAGAAGAGGAAAGCGGAAUUCCACGUGUAGCGGUGAAAUGCGUAGAGAUGUGGAGGAACACCAGUGGCGAAGGCGGCUUUCUGGUCUGUAACUGACGCUGAGGCGCGAAAGCGUGGGGAGCAAACAGGAUUAGAUACCCUGGUAGUCCACGCCGUAAACGAUGAGUGCUAAGUGUUAGGGGGUUUCCGCCCCUUAGUGCUGCAGCUAACGCAUUAAGCACUCCGCCUGGGGAGUACGGCCGCAAAGGCUGA
rnacentral:rRNA from 1 species